rnacentral:rRNA from 1 species
UACGAGGGGGGCAAGCGUUGUUCGGAAUUACUGGGCGUAAAGGGCGCGUAGGCGGCCUGCUAAGUCGAACGUGAAAUCCCUGGGCUCAACCCAGGAACUGCGUCCGAUACUGGUUGGCUUGAAUCCGGGAGAGGGAUGUGGAAUUCCAGGUGUAGCGGUGAAAUGCGUAGAUAUCUGGAGGAACACCGGUGGCGAAGGCGACAUCCUGGACCGGUAUUGACGCUGAGGCGCGAAAGCCAGGGGAGCAAACGGG